rnacentral:rRNA from 1 species
GGCUGAAAUUCGCCUUCAUGAAGCUGGAAUUGCUGUAAUGGCAGGUCAGCAUACUGCCGUGAAUACGUUCCCGGGGCCCUUGUACACACCGCCCGUCACACCAUGAGAGUUGGAAAUACCCGAAGCCUGUGAGCUAACAAACGAGGCAGCAGUCGAAGGUAGAGCCAAUGAUUGGGGUGAAGUCGUAACAAGGUAUC